rnacentral:rRNA from 1 species
CCUACGGGCGGCAGCAGUGAGGAAUAUUGGUCAAUGGGCGGAAGCCUGAACCAGCCAAGUCGCGUGAGGGAUUAAGGCCCUGCGGGUCGUAAACCUCUUUUGCCGGGGAGCAGUGGUCCGGACGAGUCCGGGCCGGGAGAGUACCCGGAGAAAAAGCAUCGGCUAACUCCGUGCCAGCAGCCGCGGUAAUACGGAGGAUGCGAGCGUUAUCCGGAUUUAUUGGGUUUAAAGGGUGCGUAGGCGGGCAUUUAAGCCGGCGGUCAAAUGUCGGGGCUCAACCCCGGCCUGCCGUCGGAACUGGGUGCCUUGAGUGGGCGAGAAGUAUGCGGAAUGCGUGGUGUAGCGGUGAAAUGCAUAGAUAUCACGCAGAACCCCGAUUGCGAAGGCAGCAUACCGGCGCCCGACUGACGCUGAGGCACGAAAGUGCGGGUAUCGAACAGGAUUAGAUACCCCGGUAGUC